rnacentral:lncRNA from 1 species
CCAGAGACGCGCAACUCCGCUCCGCACUGUGCGCCAGCAUCCCCCGGGCCCCGAGGGCGCUCCGGCCCGCCCGGAGACCCCCCGCCCAGGCUGGAGCCGGGCCCUGGGACCCAGGGAGCGGGUGGGUGUGAGUGUGGGUGGGUGUGAGCGAGUGAGGGCGUGGGCCUGAGAGCGUCCGCGGGACUGUGCGACUGUCGCUGCCCUGCCUUCCCCGCCCCCUCUCCAUUCCCCCUUCUCUGCCCCCCUUUGCCACACUCCUUAGACAGGGACGGGCGACCUAGAACGAGGUUCCCAUACCGUCUUUUGAAAAGCAAAACUUGGUCUCUGUUUUGCCUUUUGUUUUAUUGUUUUUAGCUUUAAAGAGUAAGAGCAGCGCACCCGGCUCCCUCCUGCUAAUUAGACUUCAGAUCUCCCUCUGGCCUCAGUGCUCAUUCUGGGGAAGACACCUGCUGAGAUGUCUUUUUCCCCCUCCCUCAACCAAACCACUUAGGUCCUGCCUGCUCUUUCCCGGCUGGAUGCGAGCGUGUUUUCCUGUAUGUAUUUUUUCAUGCGGCCACAAACAGCAUCAGCUGGGGUUCCCGAAGGUCAGAAAAUGGCUAUUGAUUAAUCUAUUAGAAUAGUUGCCGAGAGAAAUAAAAACGACGUAAAAUAACAGGGACCCUAUAAAUAAAGAAGCCAUAACUGGCUACUUGGAGUUGUUAAACGACUUAGCAUAUGAAAAAAUCGGAAAUGAGGCGCUGGGGAAGGAGCCGGCAUUGGCAGCGGCCCGGGUGUAGACAAAUCCUCCAAGAUUUAACUUCCAAGGAAACCAGCGGCGGAGCGGUUGGAGGAGGCGAGGAUGUGUGGCCAGCGCACGCGGAAUGCAAGGCAAGCCGCCUAGUUGGGAGCCGCAAGAGCCUGUGCCUAGUGUGGCAGGCAAACGUAACCCAAUCCCUGUCUGUACGCUGCGGCCUGGGAGGGGAGCGCCGGCCUCACCAGAGGAAGGAGCACGAGGGGAGGAGUUCCGAGAGGAAAUAAUUAGUGAAAUAUUUGCAGAAGAUGCUGGGAUGUGGAUUUAAUUCCGGAUGGACAGUGGUGCUUCCGAUUCCCUCAGUCUGUUUCCCCAUCCACGAUCUCCUCUUUCCUUGGCCUAGACACACUAAAAAUAAUUCAAUAAAAUAAAAAUUUUAAAAUCU